UGCAGUCGAGCGGACAGAUGGGAGCUUGCUCCCUGAUGUUAGCGGCGGACGGGUGAGUAACACGUGGGUAACCUGCCUGUAAGACUGGGAUAACUCCGGGAAACCGGGGCUAAUACCGGAUGGUUGUUUGAACCGCAUGGUUCAGACAUAAAAGGUGGCUUCGGCUACCACUUACAGAUGGACCCGCGGCGCAUUAGCUAGUUGGUGAGGUAACGGCUCACCAAGGCAACGAUGCGUAGCCGACCUGAGAGGGUGAUCGGCCACACUGGGACUGAGACACGGCCCAGACUCCUACGGGAGGCAGCAGUAGGGAAUCUUCCGCAAUGGACGAAAGUCUGACGGAGCAACGCCGCGUGAGUGAUGAAGGUUUUCGGAUCGUAAAGCUCUGUUGUUAGGGAAGAACAAGUGCCGUUCAAAUAGGGCGGCACCUUGACGGUACCUAACCAGAAAGCCACGGCUAACUACGUGCCAGCAGCCGCGGUAAUACGUAGGUGGCAAGCGUUGUCCGGAAUUAUUGGGCGUAAAGGGCUCGCAGGCGGUUUCUUAAGUCUGAUGUGAAAGCCCCCGGCUCAACCGGGGAGGGUCAUUGGAAACUGGGGAACUUGAGUGCAGAAGAGGAGAGUGGAAUUCCACGUGUAGCGGUGAAAUGCGUAGAGAUGUGGAGGAACACCAGUGGCGAAGGCGACUCUCUGGUCUGUAACUGACGCUGAGGAGCGAAAGCGUGGGGGAGCGAACAGGAUUAGAUACCCUGGUAGUCCACGCCGUAAACGAUGAGUGCUAAGUGUUAAGGGGGUUUCC
rnacentral:rRNA from 1 species